rnacentral:misc_RNA from 1 species
UUUCCGUAGGUGAACCUGCGGAAGGAUCAUUACUGAGUGAGGGCCCUCUGGGUCCAAUCUCCCACUCAAGAUCAUUGUACCUUGUUGCUCCGGUGACCCCGCGUCCCGGCCGCCGGUGGGAAACUCCCUGCGGGACCGCGCUGGCCGAUCACACCGUUCUAAGCUGACUGAAGUAUGCAUCAAGAGCGAAUCCUUUAUAACUUAAAACUUUCAACAACGGAUCACAUGGUUCGGGCAUAGAUGUAGAACGCAGCAACUCGGCUAAGCACACGUCUGCAC